rnacentral:rRNA from 1 species
AACGAACGCUGGCGGCAUGCCUAACACAUGCAAGUCGAACGAGACCUUCGGGUCUAGUGGCGCACGGGUGCGUAACGCGUGGGAACCUGCCCUUAGGUUCGGAAUAACUCCCCGAAAGGGGUGCUAAUACCGGAUAAUGUCUUCGGACCAAAGAUUUAUCGCCUUUGGAUGGGCCCGCGUUGGAUUAGCUAGUUGGUAGGGUAAAAGCCUACCAAGGCGACGAUCCAUAGCUGGUCUGAGAGGAUGAUCAGCCACACUGGGACUGAGACACGGCCCAGACUCCUACGGGAGGCAGCAGUGGGGAAUAUUGGACAAUGGGCGAAAGACUGAUCCAGCAAGGCCGCGUGAGUGAUGAAGGCCUUAGGGUUGUAAAGCUCUUUUACCCGGGAUGAUAAUGACAGUACCGGGAGAAUAAGCUCCGGCUAACUCCGU